rnacentral:rRNA from 1 species
GACGAACGCUGGCGGCGUGCCUAACACAUGCAAGUCGAACGCGGUCGGCCCUUCGGGGCCACAUGACCGAGUGGCGAACGGGUGCGUAACACGUGAGAAACCUGUCCCGAAGACCGGGAUAACCACGGGAAACCGUGGCUAAUACCGGAUGCCCUCACCGGACCGCAUGGUCUGGUGAGGAAAUGCUCAGGUGCUUUGGGAGGGUCUCGCGUCCUAUCAGCUUGUUGGUGAGGUAACGGCUCACCAAGGCUCAGACGGGUAGCUGGUCUGAGAGGACGAUCAGCCACACUGGGACUGAGACACGGCCCAGACUCCUACGGGAGGCAGCAGUGGGGAAUCUUGCGCAAUGGGCGAAAGCCUGACGCAGCAACGCCGCGUGGGGGAUGAAGGCUCUCGGGUUGUAAACCCCUUUCAGCAGGGACGAAAAUGACGGUACCUGCAGAAGAAGCCCCGGCCAACUACGUGCCAGCCGCCGCCGAGUAAAAC